GACAAACGCUGGCGGCGUGCAUAACACAUGCAAGUCGAACGGUCUCAUUAAGGUGAGAUAGUGGCGGACGGGUGAGUAACACGUAGAUAACCUGCCCAAUAGUGGGGAAUAACUCCUCGAAAGAGGAGCUAAUACCGCAUAAGCUCUCUCCUGUAAGAGGGAGAGGAAAGCUCUUUAUUUCGCAAGAAAUAGGGGGCGCUGAAGGAGGGGUCUGCGGCGGAUUAGCUAGUAGGGGGGUAAAGGCUUACCUAGGCGACGAUCCGUAGCUGGUCUGAGAGGACGACCAGCCACACUGGGACUGAGAUACGGCCCAGACUCCUACGGGAGGCAGCAGUGAGGAAUAUUCCACAAUGGCCGAAAGGCUGAUGGAGCGACGCCGCGUGAAGGAAGAAGCCC
rnacentral:rRNA from 1 species